GACGAACGCUGGCGGCGUGCUUAACACAUGCAAGUCGAACGGAAAGGCUCCAGCUUGCUGGCGUACUCGAGUGGCGAACGGGUGAGUAACACGUGGGUAAUCUGCCCUGCACUCUGGGAUAAGCCUGGGAAACUGGGUCUAAUACUGGAUAUGACCUUUCUCCUUAUGGGGUUUGGUGGAAAGUUUUUCGGUGUAGGAUGAGCCCGCGGCCUCUCAGCUUGUUGGUGGGGUGAUGGCCUACCAAGGCGACGACGGGUAGCCGGCCUGAGAGGGCGAUCGGCCACAUUGGGACUGAGAUACGGCCCAGACUCCUACGGGAGGCAGCAGUGGGGAAUAUUGCACAAUGGGCGGAAGCCUGAUGCAGCGACGCCGCGUGAGGGAUGACGGCCUUCGGGUUGUAAACCUCUUUCAGCAGGGACGAAGCGUAAGUGACGGUACCUGCAGAAGAAGCACCGGCUAACUAGGUG
rnacentral:rRNA from 1 species